UCUCAUCCCAAGUCUUCCCUUAGCUUCAGCUGUGGAUUUGGCUCUGAAGCUGGUUGAAAAUUCAGGUUCUCCAGGCCCUGCCCCAGAGAUUCUGACUUAGCAAGACCGGGCUGAAGCUCAGACAUCUAUGUUUUCGAAGAGGACUUGAGAACCGUUGAGGGGAGCUUCAGUGAGAUAAGAUUCAGCGAGUCCUGCAGCCUGGCCCCACCUGGCCCGCUCCAUUUGUGCCAUAAUUCCCAACCAGUGUUUAAUGAGCUCUUACUGCAUACCAGGCAUGCCUGGCGCUGGACCAAGCACUCGCACCC
rnacentral:lncRNA from 10 species